CCUAGGUUGCAUCUAAAAAUUUUUUCUAAUAUUCUACUUGUUUAUGGAUCAAAUUCUUACCUGAAUCAUAGCAGAACCAGGGAUCAAAUCUCAAAUUAUCUAAUAUAAAUCUUCACGGAGAUCUGGAUAUGUAGACCCUCUACUUCACAUGCAUGUCAGAUGCCGCAGAAAAGCAAGAUGAACUCCAAUCCAAUUGGCUUCGUAACUCAAUCAAUUGAGGGACAAGAUGUGAUGAUUUGAUACCUCACACCAGCAGGUAUGAUGCCUAAGAAAGAUCCACACCCAA
rnacentral:lncRNA from 1 species